CCUACGGGGGGCAGCAGUGGGGAAUAUUGGACAAUGGGCGAAAGCCUGAUCCAGCCAUGCCGCGUGUGUGAAGAAGGCCUUCGGGUUGUAAAGCACUUUCAGUGGGGAAGAAAGCCUUGGGGCUAAUACCCUCGAGGAAGGACAUCACCCACAGAAGAAGCACCGGCUAACUCCGUGCCAGCAGCCGCGGUAAUACGGAGGGUGCGAGCGUUAAUCGGAAUUACUGGGCGUAAAGCGCGCGUAGGCGGUCUGAUAAGCCGGUUGUGAAAGCCCCGGGCUCAACCUGGGAACGGCAUCCGGAACUGUCAGGCUAGAGUACAUGAGAGGAAGGUAGAAUUCCCGGUGUAGCGGUGAAAUGCGUAGAGAUCGGGAGGAAUACCAGUGGCGAAGGCGGCCUUCUGGACUGACACUGACGCUGAGGUGCGAAAGCGUGGGUAGCAAACAGGAUUAGAUACCCUGGUAGUC
rnacentral:rRNA from 1 species